AUACGGAGGGUGCGAGCGUUAAUGGGAAUUACUGGGCGUAAAGGGUGCGUAGGCGGCUUGAUAAGUCGGAUGUGAAAGCCCCGGGCUUAACCUGGGAAUUGCAUUCGAUACUGUCAGGCUAGAGUAUGUCAGAGGUUGGCGGAAUUCCUAGUGUAGCGGUGAAAUGCGUAGAUAUCAGGGGGAACACCAGUGGCGAAGGCGGCCACCUGGACCAAGACUGACGCUGAGGGACGAAAGCGUGGGGAGCAAACAGGAUUAGAAACCCUAGUAGUCC
rnacentral:rRNA from 1 species